rnacentral:rRNA from 14 species
GCAUGGAAUAACGCGAUAGGAGUCUGGUCCUAUUGUGUUGGCCUUCGGGACCGGAGUAAUGAUUAAUAGGGACUGUCGGGGGCAUUCGUAUUUCAUUGUCAGAGGUGAAAUUCUUGGAUUUAUAAAAGACGAACAACUGCGAAAGCAUUUGCCAAGGAUGUUUUCAUUAAUCAAGAACGAAAGUUAGGGGAUCGAAGAAGAUUAGAUACCUUCGUAGUCCUAACCAUAAACUAUGCCGACUCGGGAUUGGCGGUCGUUUUUUUACCGACUCCGUCAGCACCGUAUGAGAAAUCAAAGUCUUUGGGUUCCGGGGGGAGUAUGGUCGCAAGGCUGAAACUUAAAG